UAGAUGUAGAGCGUUUCAGAGACCCGUCCAAAUCCUUUUUCAUAGUUAGGAUGUAUGGCUCAACUUCAAUAUAAAAGAGGAUCAGCUAUACAUGAUACGAACACAAAAAGGAUUGAUCAACACCAAUGAAGAAUCAAAUGCAUUGGUUACUUUCCACUCUCCUGAAAGUCAUAUAAAA